UGUGACCUUACCAUCAAAAACACAAAUAUAUUUCCAUUAGAUUUUAUGUGAUAUACCAAAACAAAGUAGCACAUAAUUGUGAAGCGCAACAAAAUUUCCCCUUGUGUUAUACUGUACAUACACUUGUUCUUUGAAGGUAUCUCUGGUUUGUUGAAAAAAAGCAUCUCAAAGACAAAUGAACUCACCAGACAAGUCAGUGAUAAAGUUGUGGACAAGCCAUUGU